rnacentral:rRNA from 1 species
AUUGAACGCUGGCGGCAGGCCUAACACAUGCAAGUCGAGCGGAGCUGCGGACGGGGGAGUAAUGCCUAGGAAUCUGCCUGGUAGUGGGGGAUCACGUCCGGAAACGGGCGCUAAUGCCGCAUACUAUCAGAUGAGCCUAGGGUGGAUUAGCUAGUUGGUGGGGUAAAGGCUUACCAAGGCGACGAUCCGUAACUGGUCUGAGAGGGUGAUCAGUCACACUGGGACUGAGACACGGUCCAGACUCCUACGGGAGGCAGCAGUGGGGAAUAUUCGGCAAUGGGCGAAAGCCUGACCCAGCAAUGCCGCGUGAGUGAAGAAGGUUUUCGGAUCGUAAAGCUCUGUAAGUUGGGAAGCGGUACCAACAGAGAAAGCACCGGCUAACUUCGUGCCAGCCGCCGCGGUAAUAC